AUGCCAAUGUGCUGGGGAGCAGCGACAGAGCGAAUAGCAGGUCCCAUGGCCUAAGGAGGAGAGAUCCCGACUUGGUGUCUCCGAGGAGGAUCAAGACGAGCGGGAGUUGAGCAUGCCAGAACCGGCGCCCCUCGGCGCAGACAAGAAAGCGGUGGAGAAGAAGCGUGCGGAGAAGGUGGGAGCGAAAGGCAGCACCUCCGUGCCCCCAGUCCCCAAGAGCCUCCCUGUGAAGAGGACAGUGGAGCCCCAAAGCCUCGACCCCAUGGAGGAGCCGCUCAUCUGGGAAGGGCUCACCCUCAACAAAUGCAUCCUCGUGGCCUCCUUCGUCGCCCUGCUCAGUGUCAGCUUCCAGGUGCUCCAAGGUAAGCGGGGCCGGCAGAGCGGGGAGCCUGCAGGGACCAGCUCUGCUCCCGGGACACGGCCCCGUCGGAGCUCACAGGGGCUCAGGGAGAAGGGGCGAAUUGCCCAGGGCCAGCCAGUGGGUUGCUGGAAUGAACCCCAGUCUGCUGGGUCCCAGCCCAGCAGCUGGUCCCAGACUGAUUUUUGUGGGGUCAGUUAGGGCACAGCCCAUGGGGGAUUUGGGAGACACAAAGCGGAAUGAGGGUCUGGCCACUCUGAAAGCCACGCGCUGGCUGCUGCUAGCACAACGCGCUCUCCGGCGAAGGGCUGCAGCCCUGGCCUUGUGGCAGGGCCAGGAUGGCCAGACCCCUCCAACAUCGCGUCCCUCAGCUCCACUCCUCCUGCCUCUUCUUCGUUUCUCUCUUCUAGCACCUUGCUCUAGGGAAGGAAUUAGCAGUGACAGACAGGCCCCUCCACCUCCACCCCUUCACGAGGUCAUUGACACCAAGGAGGACAUCCCAGAAGUGGUGGCUGCCCCACCGGUCCAACCCGAGAGCAGCCUGUUCGAGGACAGUGAUGGUGACGAUGACAGGGAAGAUGACAGUGAAGCUGACAGCAACCUGGCCGAGCCGUGGAUCUUCAAGAAAUGGUUUGGCCGCUUGGAGCAAGAGGACGAAGAGGAAGAACCCGAAGCCGAACCUGAGGAGCCACCAGCCAAGGUCGAGGUGAGGAAGAGCCGAGAGAAGCCCAGAGGCCCGGAGAGGAAAGAAGAGAAGCUCAGGGAAAGUCGUGCAGCCCAGGUGGAGAGGAGCAGCCGGAAGGAGACGCGACCCAAGGACAGAGCCCCUGAGGACAAGGCUGGCAGAACCCCAAGGGCACCCAAGGAGCCAGAGCAGCAGCCCUACAAGAAGCGGGGCCGGGAGGGCAAGGAGGGCAGGCGAGAAGGGAGGGAGCGCGAUGAGCACAAGAAAGAUGAGUGGAAGGGCCGCCCCGCCAAGGCUGACCGCGAGGACAACCGGAAGCGGGACUGGAGGCAGCAGCGAGGAGAGCAGAAGGGCAAGAAGCCCUGGGAGCAUCACACGUCUGCCCCGGGGAAGGACAGCACUGCCAGGCCCAGGGAAGGCAAGAAGCGUGACUGAGACCCCGGCCUGCGGGACUGGGAUGAACAAGGGGCUGAAUGACACUAAAUCCAGGGAGGGGGGGGGGUCCAAACUCCCCCAGCCUGGGCACUGCCACUGCAGCCAGCACCCCAGCAACCCCCCAGGGCCAAGAUCCACCCAUCUCCUACCACUCCCUGCCUGCUCUCCAGAGACACCCGGACUCCAUCUGUCUGCUGAAAUCCCCAGCCUCAGCCGUGCCUCCACCCCAUGCUUUGAGAGGAGCCAGCGGCUUGUGUGGUCAGAGCAUCAGGUGAAGACACCUGGGUCCUGUUUCCCACUCUGCCACCAGCUCGCUGGGAGACCCUGCCCAAGUCACAUCACUUCUUUAUCCUUCCGUCUCCCCCGUCCCCAAGCCGGGCAUCGCAGUCAGAGCAGGCAGGUGCUCCUGCACCUCCGAGCAGAGACACCAGGCAGUUAAAGCAGCCCAGGAGCAUGGCACAAGCCUCCCUGCGGACUUUGGGCCCCUCUGGAUUAGAUGCAUGAAGGCAAGCUGAAAGGACCGGGGAAAUGAGCUUCUCUCCACUUGGGCUUCAUGCUAAUUCUCCAUCCCCACCAGAAAUACCUCUUGCCAUUCACUUUUGCUUUGCAAACCAGGCCUGCCACACAGUACCUGAGGCAUCAGGAUGGUGCAGUCAGCAAGGAGCCGCUGUAGUGAUACCAGCGAACAGAGUUUGCCUGCAGACUGUUUAGCGCUUGAAUUCAAUUAAUUGUUUUAUUAAAAGCAAAUCAAGAGAGAAGUUUCUUCUAGGUUAAAGAAGCCGGGCUGCUGCCAUCCUUGGAUGGACUUCAGGGAAACAAGCACAAAGACCUAGCCAGGCCCUGGUGCCAUCGCCGCAGGAUGAAGCGAAGCUGGCUAGAAACAAAACCCCGCUGACGCAGCCCAUGGCCCUGGGCUCCCUUUGGGACUUGCCUUUACAGAGUAGCUUAUAGGAACAAACCAGAAGUGCAAUAUCUCACAGUGCUGUAGUAACUACAGGAGACGUUAACAGCCCCAAGCCGUGGCAGAUUGCAGUAUUUACUACAUCAAUAGAGGUUAAAAUAAACUAUUUUCAUUUUUAAUAACRUAUUAAAUU
ensembl:lncRNA